rnacentral:lncRNA from 1 species
AGGAAUAAUUACUUCCUAUGGAUGUGAUAUGGAGAAAUUAAGGUUAUACUUAAUGUCACAGGAAAUCUACAGAUAGAUUCAUGAUUAACUCAUUUUUCACGUUAUUACAGUUCCAUUUUUAAUUUGAUUUACACCUUCUUCAAGGCACAUGUACCUACAUGUCUUCUGAGGCGAACUUAUUGUUUUCAGUUUUUGUUUGUUCACUCCCUUGUUCUGCUAGGAGAACGAUGUCUAUAGAAGAAUCAACAUCCAUUCAUUCAUAAUUAUAAAACCGUGGUAUCUGAGAUACUACUGCAAUGAUUUUUCUGAAUAUAAGAUGUCCUUUGAAUAGCAACAGUCAUCAUUACAUACUAAUAAAAGUGAUAAAAGACUUGAAAAUACCUUCUGUAGAGGCAUCCCAUUUUAAUAUGCUGUGAGAUGAUGUGAACGAUGAAAUGUUGUGGAGCCAGAAGGAAUCAUACCUGUUGAAGUGCAUCCACAGGAGGGCCAAAGGAAUGAUCCAAAGAGUUGAAC